rnacentral:lncRNA from 1 species
ACCUGUGUUUUAAAUGGCGCAUGGCGAUCCAAGGCGAUAAGGUGUGUGCCUUGCGCCUUGCGCCAUGGCGCAAGAAAGCGCUCGCCUUGAAGACCCACUUGAAGACUACGUUAGUUAUGUAUCCGUGCGUAAUAUACAAAUUUCAUUCACGUGAUUUUGCCUUUAUUAAAUAGUUUUUAUCAGAAGAAAGCCCCAUGAGAUUAGAGAAGAGAGUACGUACUAACCUUAUGCAAAACACAGUCCGUGAGAUCCAUGUUUUGUUAAGUUUUUAACUUUGCUUUUCUACAAGAGCAAGCUAGGGUUUUGAUAAGUUUUUAGACGUUUGGUUUUAAGUUUGGUUUAAGGUUGGUCCAUUUAUUAAGUUAGGGUUUCUACGUGGUUUAGUAUCGGUUAACGUCAUCGUCUCCAUAGCUCGCCUUUGCGUUGCCUUUUAAGGCACCGCCUUAUGACCAAUGCGCACUUGGCGAGCGCCUUACGGAACCCACCCUCGCCUAGGAGGUACAUGGCGAUGGAGCCGUCGCCUGAGUGCGCCUCGCGCCAUGGCGCAAAAGGCGAGCGCCAUUUUAAACACAGGUAAUAACUCUCCGGAACAGCAGACUUCUUCUUCUCCGCACCGGAGAGAGAGAACCAAACCUUAGGCCUCAGCACAGGAGGUAUCCCUUUCCUAAUCAACCUCUUCAACGUGAUCGCAUACUCAAAGCAGAGAUCUUCAGUGACAUCUUCAAUGCGAUACCACCAUCUCCGAUCAAUAGAAUAUCCGGCUGGAGAUACCAGUCAGUUCCUUUGCUGGCUUCGAGAGCCCACCAGACUCUCCCUUGGCUCCUCACUUUCUCUCUGACUUAGUUCAAGACGUUGACGUCGUCGACGUUUCCUUCCACCAUGAAACUGUAUAAGUCCUGGAAUUUGACGACAAUGUUGGCUCGUCGGGCGUGGAUGCUGGGGCGGGAUGGGGAUUUGGGAUUGGAGCUCCGUUGUUAAGUCUCUUUUGCUUUGGAUACCAAACAUCGUGGGUUCUUGUCUGAUUUUUUUCUCGUCAGUUUCGGACUAAUCACGAACAUGUCAAAAGGAAAAAACAGAGGAAAUGAAAAGGAAGCUCCUUUCUUGUUUGGAUUUAAAUUUUUUUAUUAAAAGUUGUAAUCUUUCAAUAUUAUAAUGGUGUCACGUUCUGCAAACGUUAUCUCUCUCUAAUCUUCAUCUCUACGCAGUCAAAAUAAUUUUUUUGAAUUAAAAAAUCAGAAGCAAAAGAAGAAACCAAAAACAAAUGAUCUGGUGAGGAACACUAAUACUAAAAAUGGAAAACAAAAGUUAUAAUAAAACGAUAACCCAGUAAACAAUGACAAAUUCGCCGUAGCGAUCAAACACAGAUCUAAAAACAUGAAACGCUUAAAACAAUGUCAAAUUCGCCGAAAUGAUCUAACACAUAUCUAAAAACAUGAAACGAUGAACUUACAUUAAGGUCAACCAGAAGCAUGUCAACCCACAUGAGCUCGCCACCGCGCUUCACAUUUCUCGCCUCCCAGAACUGCAACAGCCGAGCCUCAACGACGCCGGAGCACUUGCCGGACUUCAAGUCGGAGAAGAAGACUCUCGAAAUUACCAUAACAACACGAUUCAGUAUAUCAGAGGAGGAUGACUUACAAAUGAGAAAGACUCACAUAUUUAUACAGAUUUCCCACCGCUUGAGAGUCGAGAUCGACGCAUUGAAGAUCUCAUAGUGGGCGUCUGAAUUGAUGAGAAUAAACACACAAAAACGAUAACGUAUUCCGUUUCAGAUCUGUGGAGAAGGUGGAGAGUCAUCGUCGCCGUCAAACGAAUAAGACGGAAGAAUAGAGAUGACUCGCGGGAUGAAAUUAGGGUUUCACAUAUGCGAUUCCGGGCCGAGCAAACCGUCGGGAAUGAAGCCCAUAUCACUAAUCUCACGCAAAUAGAGCAUCUGUUCUAAUGGGCCCGUCAAAUCUUUAUUCUUCACGGCUAAGCAGAUAACGCGCGACGAAGCCCACUAACGAAUCUUCUUUAAUGAAAUGAUGCGCUUUGAGGGGGGGGGGGAGCUAAGCAGAUAACGCGCGACGAAGCCCACUAACGAAUCUUCUUUAAUGAAACGAUGCGCUUUGAGGGGGGGGGGACGCGUGGCGGCAGGAGAGCGCUUGACUUUCCUACGUGGACGAAUGUGAGAGAAACAAACAAUUUUAUAUAUAUAUAGAUAUCCCACCAUAAUUCGUUGGAUAUUUUGGAUAGAAUUGCUCUUGAAUUCUAAUACGAUCUAUGAUUUCUAUCAUUUAUUGUUGUUCUACAAAAAUCUAUUUUAAUUAUUUUAAAAACAACAACAAAUAAAUAAAGUUUUAAAACUUUGCGCGAUGUUUACAAUUUCCAGCAUCCGAGAAUUUUUUAUGAUAACUUGCUUGUCAACUUAAGUGAUCAUACCCAGUAGAGGAACUAGGAAAAUCUUUAAAGACGGUCAAUUUUGAAGUUAACAUACAUUAUAGAGGUUAUUUAGCUAAAAUGUGCAAUAAUUAUCUAGAUUUUUAAGAAUUAUAUUAGUAAGGGUUGGGACAUUCUCACAUUCAUACACCCUGGCCCUAAUCAAAGAUGGCUCUCAAAUAUGUGCCAUGAUACCUUCUUAUGUCUUGUCAUCGUCUUUUGGUUGCAGUGUGAACACUGAAUUUUCACUUAUUUGGGGGUUGGAAGAAAGAUUUUUUCGUUUCUCUUCUUGUUUACAUUUUUUUAGUCUGCGUUCGUAACUUAUUGUUUCUAGAGUUGGAAAGUAAUUUCUUCUUGUUUACAUUUAUUUUAGUCACCGUUGGUAACUUUAUGUUUCUAGCGUUGUAAAGUAAUUUCAUGUGGUCAAGGUUCUGUGACCUUCUCUUCCAAUUUUGGUGCUUCUUCUUUCUUUUAGAUUUUAGUGUUGUAGUUAAUGAAUUUUGGUGUACCCUUUAGGCUCUUUUCACUUACCAUGCCUUCUUGGUUCUUUCCUGGUUGUACUGGGUCCGAUUGGUAUAUAAGCCGUUUUCAUUAUGUUUAGGUUUAAUUUUGUGUUCUUUUUCGCGGUUACGGUUUCAUGGGGUGGGGUCAUGAAGCUUUUAGUUCCAACAUUACGUUUGUCUUGAUUUGUAAUUGUAGUUUUUUUCUUAAUUAUGCGACUGAUGAUUGUGAAUUAUGAUUAGUCUCCGCAUGUUUGAUUUGUUAUGAAACUCAAUGUUAUGAAAGUGAUUAGACUUUAUGUUUUCUUAGCUAUGAAACUGUCACUGGGCUUCUAUAGGUGACAUGGAUAGCAUUACCAUGAUUUUUUUUUUGUCAAAUUUUUUUAAUUCAAUAUUGUAACAUAAAAGUUGAUAUGAUAUAUCGUAUAAAGAAAACAAAAAUAAACUCUUAAAAAUAAUCUAAUCCUAUAGAAAAUAUGAUAUGACAAAUACAAUCCAUAUUUUGGUUGGAUGUUGCGAAUACAUUGAUGUCCGAAUGAUCUUAUUCAACAUUUUUUAAUAGUUGAAAUGUUUUUUUUUGGUUCAAAACGAGCUGUAAUCACUUUCAUUGUCUACACGAUAAAAGUUAUCUAAUUAAAAAUAUAUUUUUUCUUUUGUAAUUAAUUUUUAAAUCACCAUUAUCUGGGUAAUAGUUUUAGUAUUAAUAUUAUCUUAUCAGAAAAUCAAGAUUUGCUUACCAUUAAUAAAAGAAAAAAAAAAUCAAAAAGAAGAUUUUAUACCAUUUAUAAAAAAAAGAAAAAAAUCUGCGGUUUUGGAAAAUAAAAACAAGAGUAAUCUAGAAGACGUGAGUACCAAAGCCACCUGUUCUGUCUUCUUCACAUGGCUUUUUAAGUCAAAAUCAUUUCUCUCCUCUUCAUUCUACUGAUCAUCCUCGAGAAGAAACUUGUAACAACCCAACAACAGCUAAUGGAUCCUCCCUUCGGCCACUCACACCACCACCACCAUCACCACCAACGCGACGACAACGAAGAUGAUCGUCAAUCCUUCGCACCACCACCGCCACGCAACAACUUCGUCGAUGCUCCACCGCCCCCUGGUCAUUACCACUCACAGCCUCAUCUCGAUCCCUACGCGCCUCCUCCGCCAGUACCGUCGCCUUACGGAUCCGAACCUCAAUACAACGCCUACGCUCCUCCUCCGCCUUACUUCGAAGCUCCGGCACCACCGCCUCAGUUCGGUCACGUGAGCCAUGUCAGCCACCACACUUCCGAAGAACCAUACCCACCAGACCACCACCGUAACGGAGCUUACCCGCCGCAUAAUUCGUCCCUGGAAAGCUACGGAGACAGCACCGGCGGCGUCGUGCACGUGUCCCACCAUAGCUCACAUCAAACCGACAUGCCUUCUGGUUUCCACCACCUCCCUGAUGAUGAGAACCGUCUUCCUGAUAACCUCGCCGGACUCGCCGGAAGGCAAACGGUGAAGGUGUAUUCCAAAGCAGAGCCUAACUAUUAUCUGACGAUCAGAGACGGUAAGGUCAUUCUCGCCCCAGCCGAUCCUUCUGAUGAAGCUCAGGUAUUAUUAUUACAUCAUCUCUCUCUCUCUCUUACAAAGAUCCAUACUUUAUGCUUUCUCUGUUUUGUUUCAUUGUCCGAACAUGUUAUUGUAAGUUCAUUUUAUCAUUUAUUAUUACAGCAUGUCUCUUUCGCCAAGAUCCAAACUUUAUGCUUCCUCUGUUUUGUUUCCUUGUCGGAACGUGUUAUUGUAUCUGUUUAGUUCUUGUAUGAUUGAAUCUUGUUAAUUAGAAACAGAGGUUUUACAAAACAGAACAUGUUAUUGUAACAGUUUUAGUUCCUGUAAUAUUGAAUCUCUGUUGAUCCAUCUGACGAAGCUCAUGCAUUAUUACAACAUGUCUCUUUCGCCAAGAUCCAAACUUUAUGCUUCCUCUGUUUUGUUUCCUUGUCUGAAUACAUGUUAUUGUUACAUUUUCAGCUCUUGUAAGAUUGAAUCUUGUUUUACUCUCUCCUACAGUAGACUUAACUUUGUACUGCAAUGUGCAGCACUGGUACAAAGACGAGAAGUACAGCACUCGUGUGAAGGACGCAGAGGGCCAUCCUUGCUUCUCUCUUGUAAACAAGGCCACUGGUGAAGCCGUGAAGCAUUCUGUUGGAGCUACACAACCCGUAAGGCCUUUCCUUGGACGAGAGUCUUUUGUCAAUGUUGUUUAUAUCUUUGGUGGUAUGGUAUUUUCAGGUGAAUCUAGUCAGAUAUGAUCCUGAUACGCUUGACGAGUCUGUGCUGUGGACUCAGAGCAAGGAUCUGGGUGACGGAUAUCGAACGAUAAGAAUGGUGAACAAUGUGGGGUUAAACGUUGAUGCGUUUCAUGGUGACAGCAAAUCUGGUGGUGUUCGUGAUGGCACAACUAUCGUUCUUUGGGACUGGAACAAAGGAGACAACCAGCUUUGGAAGAUCUUUCCUUUCUGUAAGCUUUUUCUUUAACCUUUUAUUUGUUUUAUAAUAUGAAAUGGCGUUGGUCAAAACGGGAAGUAGAAUUCUAAUGAGCUUAAUGUAUCAUCAAGUUGUGACUUGACUUUGACACCAUGGUUAGAUCAUGUCCAUAAGAUGAGUGUUGUAAGAUAAGUAGAGAAGUAUAUUGUCAUCCUCUCUCUCUCUUUUUUAACUGACUGUUGUAACUGCAGGAAAAUUGGCGGGUGAGAGUGGUAAAAAGUGGUUAUGUGUAAUGAAUAAAUAAACAAAACUCGGUUUUGUUCAUUGUUGUUGUUGUUGUUGUCUUGUAAAACUUGAGUUUGUGAUAUUGGGAUCUGUAAUCUUAUUUUUCAAAUCGUAUCUUAAAGUAUGAAAUAUUACAUAUGUGGUUUAUGUGUUUUUCUAAUAUGAUUUGAAAUCUUUUUUCUAUGUUUGUUGAAAAGAUACAGAAUUUUAUUGAAUCAUGUUUGAUAAUGUAUUUUAUCAAAACUUGCGCACACGUUUAUAUGCUUUCUGACUACAGCUGUGUUCUUUGUUUGGAUUGGCCCCAUCAACUAUAAUGUAUCAACAACACAAUCAACAUGCGAUCAUCAUUUUGACAAAUCAUCUAGUAUUUAAUGUUGAUCACCACGGCACCUGCAAGCUAUGAGCUAUCCACACGUGUAUAUAGACAAUGAAGUAAGAUAUUGGUAGACCAACCACAAAUUAAAUGAUAUAUUGUUUCUAGCGGUUCCAAAUGCUAAUAUUUAUUUCGUUAAUAUUGGUUUAAUAUUACUGAAAAUAGUAAUCAUACAAAUGUUGUAUUUACCAAAAUUUGAUUCUCUUCUUUCAUAUAUGCAAAAUGUUGAGAAAACAAUUAUUUAGGAUUAGACAGAAUAUUAUUUAAAGUGAUACUUCAGUAGAGACUGUAAUUUAUCAAGGUUAAGUUAUGAUCAAACUGAUAGAACAUCUGUUUGGUUAGACCAACUCAAACAAACUAAGCAUUUUGAUUUGAAGUUUAUUUUUUCCUACGUAAGAUAAAGAGUCUUCAUAGGCUUCAUAGGCCUCAACUCAAGGUCAAGUUAUGUUUCUCUUUUUAAGCCGUGGUGCUUGAGUUUGGAGUCUUCAUAGGCCUCACCGAUCCUUCAACGUUUUCUGCUCUAGCAUCAGACAAUUCAACGGCCACGAUCGCAACUUCGUUCAGAUUGGUUAUAUUUGUUGGUUGAUUCUCUGUAGAUGUGAGUUUUGGCAAAUCCGUUUUCUUCGAAUCGUGAUACAUCAUGUAUAGUAUCAUCUGAGCUAUACCGAACAAAAAUCCAAGAAUGUUUGGCAUCUGAAGACAAAACAAUAGAGUAUAAUUAGUAUAUAGUAAUGUUAAAAUAAUGUAAUAUAAUAGUUAUAUAUUUACAGCAAUGAACUUGUCCUCGAUAAGAAGUCCAUAAAAGAACCACAUGACGGCGUUAAGAGUGAGAGACAAGGAGAGAAGCAACGGCAUGUAUUCCACACUCUUUGUCCUUAUCACCUUCCUCUACAAACAUGUAACACGUUACACGUCGGUUUUUCAAUUUCCAAAUCACAAUAUAAAUGACAAGAUGUUUGAAGAUGGUGAUGAUGGAUCACCAUAACGCUCAAGGGAGAAGCAAAGACGGCGAGACUGUAAGCAGCACAAACCCAUCCAACCGUUGAGACUCGGUGUUGUUUUGGAAUCAAAAGAUCAACGAGAAGAAUCAAGAGACCAAGUCCACCUAUGUUGCAUAUCAAUAUCAACUUCAACGUGAAUAUCUGCCAUCGUACAUCCACAUUGGUUAGGUACUUAGGUAUAGAGAAUAUCGCAAAUCAUUAGCCCAUCAACGUGUAUAUGAUUUACAAACCCUGGCCUCUCUUGGUGCGUAAAUAAUAUAGAGAAACAAGUAGGAGAUUUCAAUGAAACAUCCAAAGGUGUUGAUGCUAAUGAUGAGAUAGGCAUGUGUCUUCAUUAUUCCGUAGAAGAGAAGAAGAGUUGCACUUGCAAGUGCACAUAUGUAUGGUAUCGACUGAAACCCUUUUGAUGAUUUCUUCUUGUAUAUCCCGUAGAACGUUGGCCUGUAUAAACAUAUACAUAUUUAUAUGUACCUUUUAGAUAAAUUAUAUACACUACAAAUUCAUAAGUACGUGUCUUACACUGGAGACAAGAAAACCCCGAAAGACACAAUGUUGCCUGCAAGCAAAAGCCAGAGUCACGAGAGAUUUGUGUUAUAACCAAUAUGUUCAUAUAAGCAAAAUGGUUAUAAUACAUACAUACAUACAGAAUGAACAAAGAGAAGUCAUUCUAGUAAUAACACAAUUUAUUUGAAUCAUAUAUAUAUAUAUAUGCAUAUGUACUCUAUUGAGAAUAUAUUAUGUUACUUUUUUGGUAAAAUAUUAUAUGUCACUUUCAUAGUUGAUUUUAGUUAUGUUAUUUUUUUUCUAAGAAACAUAAAAAAACAAUGGGAGUUAAUUACCCAAAAGACCAAAAAGAAAAGCAAGUUGAUGAACUUUGAUGAACACCAUUCUUCACUUCUCUCGUCCUGAUCUCUUUCACUCUUUUGCUAGUUUAAGGUUUGCUUUGAUGUUUGUUCCUUCAUGCAAACCCCCAUUUUAUAUUGGUAUUCCAGGAGAGCGAGUCAUUCUUGUCUUCCUUUUUCAUUUACUUUUCUUUCUCUUUUUACACUAAACACAAAAGUUUGGCUCAAGUUGUCUUGGUUUUUGUUUUAUUGUACAUAUGUUUCAUAAGGGAGCACUUAAUUAGAAUUAUUGCAUGGCUCUUAAUCGUUUGUCAUUGGCUGUUUUCCUAAUUGUUAGGCUUCAAGGAAUCCGACUAAGAAUUUCACGUUAGGCUCAAAAAGAUAUAGAGUCAAAUCAUCCCCAUCAAUUAAUUAGCAAAUAUCACACACCUUAAGUAGCAAUCUCUGGAUUGUUCAAUUUCGUGUAUAUAACCAAGUUGAUUUGAGUAUUAUGUUUGGAGAUGCUCUACUCAUCAGUCACCAGCAAAUUAUAAGAAAUGACAAUUGUGUAAUCUAUUACAACCUUCCAUAUAUAACUGGUUUCAAGAACCAAAUGUGAUCAGAUUAUUUGGUUGCACAUAUCACAAUGAGAGGAUUUGUGAACAUAUUAAUCGAUAUCUCUCUCUAUAUUCAACAAUUUAGAGCUGAUCUUUAGAUUAAAGCUUAUCAGUUUUAGACGUCAAAUUUAAUAUAAAAAAUUAAGGGCAUCAAUGUAAUGACUGUUUUAGACAAAAAUUACAUAUGGCCGAACUAAAGCACUUGAGAAAGUAUUUUCAUUAAUUUUAUGAGCAACAAGUCAUGUGUGUGAGUUGGAGGCAUAAAUAUGUGUUGUUAGGAAUAUCUCCUGAAGCCUUUCUUGUUUGGGCUAUUUCUUUGUUUUAUUCUUAAAUUUGGUACUGAACAAGACAUAAGCUUAACGUUUAGACUAAAGCUAAGCAUUAUUCUUAAAUAUUUAUUAAGUAAAUUAUAUUAAGUUAAUCUUAUGAGUUGUGAGUUGCAAUCGAGAACCCCUUUCCUUUUAAUCAGAAGAUAAUUUAUUUUCGGUGAUGCAUGGAAUAAUACCAAUGGUAAACAAACAAGAAUACGAGGCCAGAUAUGAUCAACUUAACAACGAUCUUGUUGAAUACGCAAACACAUAACAUAAUGUUGAUUCGAGAAGUGACUUAAAUCUUAGUGCACCGAAUAUGAGAACAUUUGCCAUUUUAAAUUAUGUUGUGAAUUAUUCAUUCAUAUAAUUAGUAUACAAAUCCUAAAAGGAACAUUUGUAUUAAUUGAGUUUAUCUAUAAAUUUUCUUGAUUUAUUUGAAUUUGAUUCGCGUUUGUUCACAAGUAGAAGAUGCAGUUUGAUGAUAUCUCGGAGUAUACAUAUAAGUUUGAACCAAACACAGAAAAUGCUUCACAUUUGUGGAUACUGUACUUCUAGAGGUACUCUCUAAAGCACUUUUCUAGCCUUCUUGCUCUCUUAUCUUCCUUCAUAAUCUCGACCAGAUUAUAAUAUUACUUGGAUACUCCAAGAAACUGAGCAAAGCUUGGAUACUUCGGCUCCCAUCCGAUUUCCUCUCGUGUCCGUGAGUUGUUCAGCUUCUUCCCUAAAGGACCACUGGUGCCUACACAAAGCAAAAGUUGUCAGACUCUAUGAAAGUUAAGGCUUUCAACCAACAUGUCAGAUGUCUGAAGAAACUCACUCGUGAAACCUUUGAACUUCUUAUCAUAUUUUCCACUUUGAUCCAUAAGGUCCAUCACCUCUUGCCUGAGAAGAAUGUGUGAUGUUAAACAUGUAUCUGAAAGUAUCACAAACUUAGAAAAGAAGAAGUUGCUACCUUGACAAAGGAUGGUUGUCACAACCCACAAAAAUCCGACCACCAGCUUUCUUCUUCAUGAUUGCAACUGCCAACGAUGCUGCAUCCUAUUCAGAAACACAUUACAGAACAUGAUAAAAGACUUAUGUGAUAUGUCACAGAAUAAUAUAUGUUAUAUCAUACUGAAGUUCAUGGUCCUUGUGAGGCAAAUGAAAAAAAAUAUACCUCAUAGUGAAUGAGAUUCAGGAUAUGAUCAGGACGAGCAUCCACUGUCUCCUUACUCAACCAGUAAGUAUGUGCACCUCUUGUCUCUGUGUAUAAAAAGUUCAGGAGAAACAUAAUGCUCUAGAGACCAGAAAAAGCCUUUCAUCACUUGCUGAUUCAGCUUUCAAUAUAUCGAAACCCAAAAGGAUAUGUAAAGCCCUGCUAGUCUAAGGACGGUCCCUCCACUUUCCAACACUACUUGUUCAGCUCUCAAAAGCACAUCGGUUCUUGGGCUCUUUCCUAGUGGAACUACUGGAGAAUCCUGCAGUGAAGAGAAUCCAAUUCAGAAAUGAUUGAAUACUAUAUGUUCAUAUAUAUAUCAAAUGAUUCAGAGACUCUCUGACUAAACUAUGUUUAGUGAAAUAGAAUACUGAACCUCAUUGCAUUCUCCAUUAUCAAAGCAAUCAUAAGGUGCAGAGCUAGAUGUGAAUAAGAAUGAUCCUUCGCCGUUCCACUUUGAUGCUGCCAUCCUGAUUAUAAACACAAGCAAAGAAGAUUACUUCUCUGUCUAAUAAGAGGAGCCAUUAAACUUCAUCUUCUUCCAUAGCUAAUAAAGUUAACAGCAUGCAAGACCCCUAUUAUUGCAUUCAGUAGCAGAACUUAACGCACCAGCUGUUGAAACAAGUGAUUUUGUUGUAAGUUUACCUGAGCUCAGCGGCGUAAUCUGGGCUUUGUGAGGGAGGGGCACAAAAGAUCACAUAGGAGAAGUUGCCAUCAAACUCGGUUUCUUUAAGAGAUGGUUUGAUACCCAACUUCUCCAACUCAUCAUGAUGGUUUGUUGUUACUGUCUGCCCAAAUAUUUGACAAUCUGGAUGUUCCUGCUCCAACACACAUAAAGCUUCAACUUUUAACUUCCAUAUUGUGAACACAUCUCUUACUACUAACAUGACUCUUAUAAAAUCAACCCACAACAUAAAUGAUACACUCAGGACAUUUAAGAACAGGGGACUUACAGAACAUAAAAAAGGUUUUUAUUUGUUCGAACAAGAAACACCAUUUGUGCAACUACCAAAUUCUAGACCAUUACAUAGACCAAAACAG